rnacentral:rRNA from 1 species
GAACGACUCUCGGCAACGGAUAUCUCGGCUCUCGCAUUGAUGAAGAACGUAGCGAAAUGCGAUACUUGGUGUGAAUUGCAGAAUCCCGUGAACCAUCGAGUCUUUGAACGCAAGUUGCGCCCGACGCCUUCUGGCCGAGGGCAUGUCUGCCUGGGCGUCACGC